rnacentral:rRNA from 1 species
AUACGUAGGGGGCGAGCGUUGUCCGGAAUGAUUGGGCGUAAAGGGCGCGUAGGCGGCCCGGUAAGUCUGGAGUGAAAGUCCUGUUUUUAAGAUGGGAAUUGCUUUGGAUACUGUCGGGCUUGAGUGCAGGAGAGGUAAGUGGAAUUCCCAGUGUAGCGGUGAAAUGCGUAGAGAUUGGGAGGAACACCAGUGGCGAAGGCGACUUACUGGACUGUAACUGACACUGAGGCGCGAAAGUGUGGGGAGCAAACAGGAUUAGAUACCCUGGUAGUCCACACUGUAAACGAUGAAUGCUAGGUGUAGGGGGUAUCGACCCCUUCUGUGCCGCAGUCAACACAAUAAGCAUUCCGCCUGGGGAGUACGGCCGCAAGGUUGAAACUCAAAUGAAUUGACGGGG